CGGCGUGCUUAACACAUGCAAGUCGAACGGGGAUAUCCGAGCGGAAGGCUUCGGCCGGAAGGUUGGAUAUUCGAGUGGCGGACGGGUGAGUAACGCGUGAGCAAUCUGUCCCAGACAGGGGGAUAACACUUGGAAACAGGUGCUAAUACCGCAUGAGACCACAGUAUCGCAUGAUACAGGGGUAAAAGGAGCGACCCGGUUUGGGGUGAGCUCGCGUCCGAUUAGAUAGUUGGUGAGGUAACGGCCCACCAAGUCGACGAUCGGUAGCCGACCUGAGAGGGUGAUCGGCCACAUUGGAACUGAGAGACGGUCCAAACUCCUACGGGAGGCAGCAGUGGGGAAUAUUGGGCAAUGGGCGAAAGCCUGACCCAGCAACGCCGCGUGAGUGAAGAAGGCCUUCGGGUUGUAAAGCUCUGUUAUAGGGGACGAAGGAAGUGACGGUACCCUAUAAGGAAGCCCCGGCUAACUACGUGCCAGCAGCCGCGGUAAUACGUANGGGGCGAGCGU
rnacentral:rRNA from 1 species